rnacentral:rRNA from 1 species
CCUACGGGAGGCAGCAGUAGGGAAUCUUCCACAAUGGGCGAAAGCCUGAUGGAGCAACGCCGCGUGGGUGAAGAAGGUCUUCGGAACGUAAAACCCUGGUGUUAGAGAAGAAAGUGCGUGAGAGUAACUGUUCACGUGUUGACGGUAUCUAACAAGAAAGCCACGGCUAACUACGUGCCAGCAGUCGCGGUAAUACGUAGGGGGCAAGCGUUAUCCGGAUUGAUUGGGCGUAAAGGGAACGAGGGCGGUCGUUUAAGUCUGAGGUGAAAGCCUUCGGCUUACCCGGGGGAGUGCAUUGGAAACUGGGAGCCUUGAGUUCAGAAGAGGCGAGUGGAACUCCAUGUGUAGCGGUGAAAUGCGUAGAUAUAUGG